rnacentral:rRNA from 1 species
UACGUAGGGUGCAAGCGUUGUCCGGAAUUAUUGGGCGUAAAGAGCUCGUAGGCGGCUUGUCACGUCGACUGUGAAAACCCGGGGCUCAACUCCGGGCCUGCAGUCGAUACGGGCUGGCUUGAGUGCGGUAGGGGAGACUGGAAUUCCUGGUGUAGCGGUGAAAUGCGCAGAUAUCAGGAGGAACACCGGUGGCGAAGGCAGCUCGCUGGGACGUUACUGACGCUGAGACGCGAAAGCGUGGGGAGCAAACAGG